ACGUAGGGUCCAAGCGUUAUCCGGAAUUACUGGGCGUAAAGAGUUGCGUAGGUGGCAGAGUAAGUAGAUAGUGAAAGCGUGUGGCUUAACCAUACAUCCAUUAUCUAAACUGCUCAGCUAGAAGAUGAGAGAGGUAGAUGGAAUUUCCAGUGUAGGAGUGAAAUCCGUAGAUAUUGGGAGGAACACCGAUGGCGUAGGCAGUCUACUGGCUCAUUCUUGACACUAAGGCACGAAAGCGUGGGGAGCAAACGGGA
rnacentral:rRNA from 1 species